CACAAAAUAUGUGUUAAACAGGUCGUAACACAUUUUGUGUUACUACGGACACAUUGUGUGUUAAUAUUGUGCUUAACUGUUUACACAUUGACUGUGUUAAACACAUUUAAACAGUAUGUUGGAAUACAAUGCAUUUUUGCCUGUAGUCAAAUGGCACUGUGUUAUGAGUUUAUGUAGUUUAUUUAUCAUGAUGGUAAUAUAAAAUAAGCAUUUGUGAGUAUGUGGCUAAAAAUUCUAUAUUUCGGGGUUUAUACUGUGAAUUUCUGCACGCGCAUGCGCAGUGACGUUCUUUUUCAACUGACGCUCUCCCAGAGCUCUAUCGGAUAACGCACCUCUCUGCCUCAGGAGAUGGAAGUCGAGGAACAAAUUACACCGCGUUCUUGCAACUGUCUUCAUAGACAGAAAGGAAAUAUGGAGAAAACUAUUCACAGAUGGCAAUGUUGGAGAUCUGAUAGCCUUAGUCAAACAGGUCUCAACUAUCUUUUGAUUGAAUAUUGAAAUUUGACAGAUUUUCAAGUUCAUUGACACUGAUGUAAAUGCAGGAGUAAAGGAGCUUGGCAAAUUUCAAAUAUAUUAUAUUGCAAGCAACACCCCGGACUCAUUAGAAAGAAGUGUGCAGUGUCCUUUAACAGAUUCAACUCAGACUGGCAACACAACUAGUUUGCUGACGCUGCUUGAAGAAAAGCCUCUUCAAUCCUGAGAGAACAUGAAGACUGUCAAAAAGUUGCUGUCAGUGUCCUUGUAGAGAAACAUGGAUUCUAUCCUUCUGGUAUAGAAAAGCUGGUACUAGCAAAAGAGAUUCUGUCAUUGUUCCCCUCAGGUGCCCUUUGGUGAAAAUGAGGGACAUGAGAAUGCCAUCACACAGUCAGACGAAAGCUUCAACAGAGCCAGUGGGUGUACAGUUUAAAACAUCAUCAUUGUACACCGCAACCUUCUUCACCAAGUCCAGAUGAAACCGUACCAAGUGAGUUGUUGUCUCUGAUAAAGAAGAUGCGACCAGACAAUUUAUCAUCAAUAAAGACUGCAAUCAAUCAAACCUUCAGUUACAGAAGAAGAUGGAUAACAACAAAAUCCCUUCAAAAUCUCUUGCUGAAAUCUUCAAGGACUAUCCCAGAUUUCUUGACAUGCCAGCUUUGAUGGACAUUGAAUUUUCCAAGCUCACAGAUAGGAACGAAGACUUGUUUAUCCAGAAAAGGGAAGGGACGAUAAUUCCAGAACUCAAGGAAAUAGCAUCUUGGAGAAGAAUAUUGACAUCAGACUCUUACUGAAGAUGGCUGACAAUCAGCAUGAUGAUGAGCUGUUAAACUGUUAAAGAUCCUUAUUCAUCUUCUUCCACCCACUGCCUCUGGGAGAAGUGUUGCUGGGAGUAAAUGCUGUGUGACUUCUGCUGUGUCCUACCUGUUGGAGCAAGUGCCGGCUGGUACCACCGUUACAUCUUUGCUCACUGAAUCCAUGAAAGGGACCCUGAAGUCAGCUCAGCCGCAGUUGGUUUCUAUUGGUUGUCUAGGACAUGGAUCCUUGUACGUGUACGUGUACUUGUAGCUGUGGCAAAGAAUGACUCUUUUGCUCUUCCACUCGAUCCUGAAAGCCUGACCUGUGCUGUAGACAGACUUUUCAAAUUCUUCUGGCUGUGCAAUUUUCAGUAUCCAUGCCAACUGUCUUCUGUUUUUUUUUUUUUUGAGUAUAUAUAUAUAUAUAUAUAUAUGACUUGUCCUUGUCCCAGUCAUCUUGCACACGAUUAAAGGUCAUGGAAUUAAUUGCUAAGGUGCAGUCUUGUACCUAAUUGAAAUAAGCAUGUACACCUAUCCAAAGUGUCUUUAAAAUGAUUUUGUAAUUUGGCAUUUAAGGGAAAUGCAUGCACUCUCUGAUAGUCACAACCUAACUUUAAUUUGUAGUCAAAAUCGUUGCCCUAGAACAUAUCAUAAUUUAAAUUCCUUUUUAAAACAUCUCAACAGAUCAUUUUAAAAUUAAUUCAUGCCCUUCUGAAGAGUCAGGACACACAGGGAACGAGAGUUUUAAGAGUUAAGUAUUUUGAUGAACAUAUUUUUUUCUUCAGUGUCAUCAGAACAAAUCGUUUUCUCUUUGCUUUGCUGCCUGGGGACUUAAUAGAUUACAGACCUCUAGACAUUUUGUCAUUUUGUGAUCAGCAGUAUGUAUCUCCUAAAUACAAAAUAUUGUUUUAAACAUGUUAGUGAUUGAAACUUUGGUAACACUUUAUAAUAACUACACACUUUAAAUCAUUUAUUAAGCAUUAGCAAAUGGUGAAUUCAUUAAUUUGUAAAGCGUUAACUCUACAUUAUAAGACAUUAGCGGUUUACAAAUGCUGUAUUCUUGACUUAUAAGUAAAUGUUUAAUGUGCUUAAUAAUUGUACCUUCACACUUUGCUUCUGAUUAUUUUUUCACUACUAAAUUAAGGACUGCAUUAUUUACAAACCAUUUGUAUUUGAAAGUAUGAAUUAUAAAAGUACAAUUGUUAGGCACAUUAUAAAUGUGCUUAUAAGUCAAGAAAACAGCCUUUGUAGCUGUAUUUAGAAACCCAUUACUAAUAUCUUAUAAUGUAGAUUUAAUGCUUAACAAAUAGUGAAUCAACUACUGUACUUGCUAAUGCUUAAUAAAUAAUUUAUAUUGUGUCGUUACUAUAAAGGGUUACCUAAAUGUUUGAAGUGUUUUGACUAUAUUUGACAAUGAUUUAUUUUGUUAAGACAAGCACCUUACAUGUGGGUGAAUGUAUAAUCAGUGUGCUAUGGUUAUUAAUUUCUUUCACUAGAGAAUAAUUUUGAAAAUGGAUAUGUUUCAUACAUAUUUGACAUUUUAUUGGCAUGCGUAACAGAUACGAGUUCAAUUUAAUGAAUACUUUUAUAAAGUGAGUUUUUAUAUUAUGUACAAUGAAUUGCUGUAAAACAUUUGAAUGCAUUUGGGAAAAUUAAACAGUAUGUGAACAGUG